rnacentral:rRNA from 1 species
UACAGAGGGGGCAAGCGUUGUUCGGAAUUACUGGGCGUAAAGCGCGUGUAGGCGGUUGCCCAAGUCGGGUGUGAAAGCCUUGAGCUCAACUCAAGAAAUGCACUCGGUACUGGGUGACUAGAGGACCGGAGAGGAUAGUGGAAUUCCUGGUGUAGCGGUGAAAUGCGCAGAUAUCAGGAAGAACAUCGGUGGCGAAGGCGCUCUGCUGGACCAUAACUGACACUCAGGGACGAAAGCUAGGGGAGCGAAUGGG